rnacentral:ncRNA from 1 species
UAAAAGCUUGGUUCUGGCUUAAAACUAAGCUGAUUUCUAAUCUGCCACAUGCAAGUCUAUAGACGAACCAGCAAGAAACAAAAAUACAGGUAAGAAAACUAAUUCCCCUACCUAAGAUAAGUAAAAUUUACAUAACUAUUAUAAAACUUGCGACCGCAGUGCUUAAUUUUAUUAAAUCUGCAAAAACAGGAAAUAGAUAAGGAAAAAAGGGAUGGUUAAUAACGUGCCAGCAACCGCGGUUAUACGUUAAUCCCAAGUUUAGAAACCCGGUAAAAGGAGGAAAGGUUAAACAACUAUUACCUAAGAGCUAUUAACCCAGCAGUAAUAAGCUAAAUAAAUUGAAAUUAAGUAAAAUAACCCAACCAAAAAAAUAGGGCAUAAACUGGGAUUAGAUACCCCACUAUACCUAUUAGUAAAAACCUAAACACCAGAGAAGUACGGCCAAAAAGCUAAAACUUAAAGAACUUGGCGGUUUUUUAGACCUACUCAGAGGAGCUUGUCAUCAAAUUGAUAACCCACAAGGAACCUCACCAUUCCUAGUACAACACCAGUCUGUAUACCAUCGUCGUCAGUUCACCUCGACAAAGAAAGUGAUCAAAAAGGUAAUGAGCCUCAACGUCAGAUCAAGGUGCAGCCAAUGGAAUGGGGAUAGAUGAGCUACUAUAUUUUAUAACAGAGGAACUUGAAUUGAAAAAACAAAAGAAAAAGGAUUUGAUAGUAAUAUAAGCUACAGAGGAAUUAUAUGAAAAAAGCUCUAAAAUGCGCACACAUCGCCCGUCACUCUCGUCAAUCGAGGAGAAAAGUCGUAACAUAGUAGGUGUACCGGAAGGAGCACCUAGAUAAAC